rnacentral:rRNA from 1 species
GACGAACGCUGGCGGCGUGCUUAACACAUGCAAGUCGAACGGAAAGGCCCUGCUUUUGUGGGGUGCUCGAGUGGCGAACGGGUGAGUAACACGUGAGUAACCUGCCCUUGACUUUGGGAUAACUUCAGGAAACUGGGGCUAAUACCUGAUAGGAGCUCCUGCUGCAUGGUGGGGGUUGGAAAGUUUCGGCGGUUGGGGAUGGACUCGCGGCUUAUCAGCUUGUUGGUGGGGUAGUGGCUUACCAAGGCUUUGACGGAUAGCCGGCCUGAGAGGGUGACCGGCCACAUUGGGACUGAGAUACGGCCCAGACUCCUACGGGAGGCAGCAGUGGGGAAUAUGGCACAAUGGGCGGAAGCCUGAUGCAGCAACGCCGCGUGCGGGAUGACGGCCUUCGGGUUGUAAACCGCUUUCGCCUGUGACGAAGCGUGAGUGACGGUAAUGGGUAAAGAAGCACCGGCUAACUACGUG